AUGGACUCGCGAUGGCACGCCACGUUCGUCCCUGACUUCAUCACGGCGCGCACGCUCACCGCCAACGACGGUGAGAUCCUCCUUCGCCAUGGCGCGCUCCGGAUGGUGCUGCUUGACAAGCGAGGCGUGACGGUGGAUGCGCGGUACAUGGGCGAGGGCGAACGCAUCGAGUUCGAUCAGGCGAUCUCGUUUCCGUGUCAUGUGGCUAGGGUUGGACAGCGCAUUCAGUCGCCGUGCGCGCCCCCGUUGCAUGCGGGGCUCGGUAUACAGCGCGCGGAGGAGCGGCAUGCAGCGGCUGGAUGCGCGACAUCUGGCGCGGGGAGAGCUGCCGGAUCAGAUCCAUGGCCGCCCCACCGCCAUGCGGGGCCCAGCAAUGGCGUCGAGGUACUUAAUGGACACCGAGGGGGCGCGGGCACACCCAAUUCCCCACCUACCACCACUCCUACCAGAUCCGACUCGCAUCUCGCCUAUCUCUUCGGGCACCUGUGGGAGAGAUCUAGGGUUUCCUCCUCUUCCCCACCUCCGCCGCGUGAUUCCUUCGGCUGGUGGCAUGGCAAGGUCGGCGGCGACGACCGCUCCUUUGCGCAAGUCGCAGAGGGCUCGAAGAUCCGUCUCGAUCUGUCCAAGGCGAUGGGGGAUCAAGGCGGGGGGCGAUUUGGAGGGCGGCGCGACUUCGCUGGCCGUGGUGGGUUCGGGGGUGGACGCCGACCACCGCCACCCAACCAGACGCGCAACAUGGUGUGGCAGCGGCCAGAUCUAUCGUCGGGCGCGGGCGAUGGGAGGAGGGGCCAAGGAGUGGGAGACUCAGAAGAUGGCGGCCCCCAAGGAUGCGAAUCCUCCCCCUGCUGCUGA
rnacentral:rRNA from 1 species